rnacentral:rRNA from 1 species
CGCGUAGGCGGCCACCGCAAGUCAUUUGUGAAAGCUCUGGGCUUAACCCAGAAAGGUCAACUGAUACUGCGGGGCUAGAGUGCAGAAGGGGCAACUGGAAUUCUCGGUGUGGCGGUGAAAUGCGUAGAUAUCGGGAGGAACACCGGUGGCGAAGGCGGCCUUCUGGUCGGAUACUGACGCUAAAACGCGAAAGCGUGGGGAGCAAACA